rnacentral:rRNA from 1 species
GACGAACGCUGGCGGCGUGCUUAACACAUGCCAGUCGAACGGAAAGGCCCUGCUUGCAGGGUACUCGAGUGGCGAACGGGUGAGUAACACGUGGGUGAUCUGCCCUGCACUUCGGGAUAAGCCUGGGAAACUGGGUCUAAUACCGGAUAGGAGCCAUUUUUAGUGUGAUGGUUGGAAAGUUUUUUCGGUGUAGGAUGAGCUCGCGGCCUAUCAGCUUGUUGGUGGGGUAAUGGCCUACCAACGCGGCGACGGGUAGCCGGCCUGCGAGGGUGGACGGCCACAUUGGGACUGAGAAACGGCCCAGACUCCUACGGGAGGCAGCAGUGGGGAAUAUUGCACAAUGGGCGCAAGCCUGAUGCAGCGACGCCGCGUGGGGGAUGACGGCCUUCGGGUUGUAAACUCCUUUCGCUAGGGACGAAGCUUUUUGUGACGGUACCUAGAUAAGAAGCACCGGCUAACUACGUG